GACGAAGGUGGCGAGCGUUGUUCGGAAUCACUGGGCAUAAAGAGCACGUAGGCGGCUGAGUUAGUCGGAUGUGAAAUACCUCGGCUCAACCGAGGAACUGCGUCCGAUACUGCUUGGCUUGAGGUCCGGAGGGGAGAGUGGAACUGCGAGUGUAGAGGUGAAAUUCGUAGAUAUUCGCAAGAACACCAGUGGCGAAGGCGGCUCACUGGCCCGGUACUGACGCUGAGGUGCGAAAGCGUGGGGAGCAAACAGG
rnacentral:rRNA from 1 species